GACGAACGCUGGCGGCGUGCUUAACACAUGCAAGUCGAACGGUGAAGCUCCAGCUUGCUGGAGUGGAUCAGUGGCGAACGGGUGAGUAACACGUGAGCAACCUGCCCCUGACUCUGGAAUAAGCGCUGGAAACGGCGUCUAAUACUGGAUACGAGAAGGGUCCGCAUGGGCACUUUCUGGAAAGUUUUUCGGUUGGGGAUGGGCUCGCGGCCUAUCAGCUUGUUGGUGAGGUAAUGGCUCACCAAGGCGACGACGGGUAGCCGGUCUGAGAGGGCGACCGGCCACACUGGGACUGAGACACGGCCCAGACUCCUACGGGAGGCAGCAGUGGGGAAUAUUGCACAAUGGGCGAAAGCCUGAUGCAGCGACGCCGCGUGAGGGAUGACGGCCUUCGGGUUGUAAACCUCUUUCAGCAGGGAAGAAGCGAAAGUGACGGUACCUGCAGAAGAAGCACCGGCUAACUACGUG
rnacentral:rRNA from 1 species